rnacentral:lncRNA from 1 species
AGGGACCCCAGGACAGCCUGGGCAGGUCUCCCAACAGGAACUGGACACUGUUGUGAGGACCCAGCAGGAGAUUUUGAGACAAGUGAAUGAGAUGAAGUAAGUACCCAACAGUCAUGUGUUCUGUCCCCUUGUCCCAGGGAAGCGCGGGUGCCUGCUCUCCUGUAUUAGGUACCCUUCAGGAGGGUAAACUGUACGUCCUAGGGUCAUGUUAGGAAUAAACGGGUAAUAUAUACAAACUGCAAACAUAAAUGUUUAAAAGAUCAUCAUAAGCUGAA